rnacentral:rRNA from 1 species
UACGUAGGGGGCGAGCGUUGUCCGGAGUUACUGGGCGUAAAGCGCACGCAGGCGGUCUGUUAAGUUUGGAGUGACAGUUGGUGGCUUAACUGCCAAAGUGCUUCGAAAACUGACAGACUUGAGGGCUUCAGAGGGACACGGAAUUCCGGGUGGAGUGGUGAAAUGCGUAGAGAUCCGGAGGAACACCAAAGGCGAAGGCAGUGUCCUGGGGGGUACCUGACGCUCGGUGCGAAAGCCAGGGGAGCGAAC